rnacentral:rRNA from 1 species
CCUCGGUACAAUCCCCUUGAGUUUGAUCAUGGCUCGAAUAACGCUGGCGGCGCGCUUAACACAUGCAAGUCGAACGAGAAAGUGGAGCAAUCCAUGAGUAAAGUGGCGUACGGGUGAGUAACACGUGGGUAAUCUACCUCUUGGUGGGGAAUAACCCUGGGAAACCGGGGCUAAUACCGCAUAAGCCUGAAAAGGGAAAGGAGUAAUUCGCCGAGAGAGGAGCCCGCGGCUGAUUAGCUAGUUGGUGAGGUAAAGGCUCACCAAGGCGAAGAUCGGUAGCCGGCCUGAGAGGGCACACGGCCACACUGGCACUGAAACACGGGCCAGACUCCUACGGGAGGCAGCAGUGGGGAAUCUUGCACAAUGGGGGCAACCCUGAUGCAGCGACGCCGCGUGAGCGAUGAAGCCCUUCGGGGUGUAAAGCUCUUUCGGCAGGAACGAUAAUGACGGUACCUGAAGAAGAAGCUGCGGCUAACUACGUGCCAGCAGCCGCGGUAAUACGUAGGCAGCGAGCGUUGUUCGGAGUUACUGGGCGUAAAGCGUGCGUAGGCGGUUUUGCAAGUCUGGUGUGAAAUCUCCCGGCUCAACUGGGAGGGUGCGCCGGAAACUGCAAGGCUGGAGUAUGGGAGAGGUAGGCGGAAUUCCUGGUGUAGCGGUGAAAUGCGUAGAUAUCAGGAGGAAACCUGUGGUGUAGACGGCUUACUGGACAUGACUGACGCUGAUGUACAAAGCGUGGGAGCAACAGGAUAGANCCCUGGUAGUCACGCCUAACGAGCUACUUGUGUGGGUAUCAUUU